rnacentral:rRNA from 1 species
AAAUAACUACGAGUGAAAACUUAAAACUUAAAGGACUUGACGGUACUUCACACUCAACCUAGAGGAGCCUGUCUAUUAACCGAUAUUCCACGAUUAACCCAACCAUUUCUAGCCAUCCAGCCUAUAUACCGCCGUCGCCAGCCUACCUUGUAAAAGAAACAAAGUAAGCUAAACAGUAUUACACUAACACGACAGGUCAAGGUGUAACUAAUGAAAUGGACCAAGAUGGGCUACAUUAUCUAACUCAGAUAACACGAAUAAAGUCAUGAAACUAACUCUUAAAGGCGGAUUUAGCAGUAAGCCGAGAAUAGAACACUCAACUGAAACCAAUGCAAUGAAGUGCGU